UACGAAGGGGGCUAGCGUUGCUCGGAAUCACUUGGGCGUAAAGCGCACGUAGGCGGCUUUUUAAGUCAGGGGUGAAAUCCUGGAGCUCAACUCCAGAACUGCCUUUGAUACUGAGAGCUUUGAGUCCGGGAGAGGUGAGUGGGAACUGCGAGUGUAGAGGUGAAAUUCGUAGAUAUUCGCAAGAACACCAGUGGCGAAGGCGGCUCACUGGCCCGGUACUGACGCUGAGGUGCGAAAGCGUGGGGGAGCAAACAGGGAUUAAGAA
rnacentral:rRNA from 1 species